CUCAGCCGCUCUCCUCCUCUAUCGCGUCUGACCAGCACGACAGCUUGUGCUCAAGCGCCGCCUGAGGAUCGAUGCCGGCAUCAGCCACGUCGAGGAGGUCGUGGAGCCCCUUGAGCCCGCGCUUGCCCUUGCCUACGCCCAGCAGUGGAACAGAGGCUCGGCCUGUCCGGCUACGUGUACCCACCUCCUCCUCUGUCGACCUUGUCAUCGAUGAGGAUACGCUAAGCGUCGUCUCGAUGUCUGUUGCUGGUGAUGGCCACCGUCUAACGUCCUACAACCACGCACGUGCUCAUCUACGACGGCACUGUCACCACGGUGAGUGGAACAACGACAUAAGCAGUCGCAGACUCGCAGUCGAAGGCAGUUGCAGAUAGCAGCAACUUUAGUGAUGCUCAUAAGCUGCUCGAGGCAUUACCUGCAAGAUUGCAUACCUUACCCUGAUGAAAGAUUCUGAAAGAUUGGAUCUUCUUGAAGAGAUUGGUGGUACAUAUGUUUACGAGGAUAGAUGGGAUGAGACCUUGAAAAUAGUUACCGAAACAGGUAGUUUGAAACUUUGAAUCACCAUAAAUAAUGACCGAAACAGUGAACAAAAAGGAAGCAGAUUGAUCAAGUUGUCUAUUACUUGGAGGAAAGAUUGAGAGAAAUCGGUGGAGAAAAGAAGUGCUAACAGCUGGACAAACAGAGAAGAUCACUUAAGUAUGCUAUAUUGGACCAUGAUACGUCUCUCCUCCAUGCACUCCUCAUUUCAUUAAAUUGCUUGUUGUGGCUGGCGCAUGGAUGGUGUUCGAUGAAAUGAUAUGUGCUUUUCUA